AGAGAAAACAAAAGUGAUUUCCUAAGUAGCGGCGAGCGAACGGGAAUUAGCCCAAACCAUAAUUGUUUAGGCAAUUAUGGGGUUGUAGGACUUGUAUAAUCAAAUAGAAACGAAGUAGAACGCUUUGGAAAGAGCGACCAAAGACGGUGAUAGUCCGGUAUACGUAAGGUUCUGUGCGAGACGAGUAUCCUGAGUAGUGCGGGACACGAGAAAUCCUGUAUGAAUCUGGCGGGACCAUCCGUUAAGGCUAAAUACUCCUGAGAGACCGAUAGUGAACCAGU
rnacentral:rRNA from 1 species